rnacentral:lncRNA from 1 species
AAGCAUUGUCUGACCUCUCAGACAACUGAGGCAAGAUAUUCUUCUUGUCUCCCUUGUGUAAAAUAGCAAUCUCACUAAGAAGAGGAAACUUAGAUCCAAAUAAACAAAAAUAUAUUCGGAUGAUCAUUGUGUGAAGCCUCAGGAGAAAGAUUAAAAAAAAACUUGUCUCCCAUAAUUUGUUUGCUAUAUAUAGAGUAAAUGCCAACCCUUAAACUCAAGGCCCAAGAGUUCAGAAUACACAAAACUAUAUCCUAUUGCCUCCUAGCCUUUUGUUUUCUGAAAAGAGAAUAUGGAAAUCAGUGUAACAAAUGUGAGGAACAUCUGCAAAUAUUGAAGGACUCGGAAGCCACUUAUUCAAUAUCAUCAUCAUCUUCACUACACCACAAACUUGAUUAUGAUAAGUUGCUUCAGUUGCCAAUCAAACAACAAGCCUUAGCACGAGAAUGCAGUGACAAUUGCAUUCUAGAAGGGUCUCUUAGGCUGUUAGAUAUCUGCAGUACAACUAAAGAAUGACUACCGAUAUCAAAGGAAAUAAUGCAAGAACUUCACUCAGUCAUCAGAAGAAGGAAAGGUGAUGAAACUGGUGGAAAAUACUUGGCUUCAAGAAACAAGUUGAAGAAGACAAUCAAAAUGACCUUGAGAAAUUUGAAAGGGGUAAAAAGUGAGUCCCCAGUUUUCCCACAAAAAAGGUGCCUUCUCCAUGCUAUGUGUCUUAACAGAAGCAGAAGAAGUCACAACGAGAUCAUUAUAAUCUUUGUUAUUGUUUAUUUUUUACACAAAGGAACAACACAAGCAGAGCAGGUGGUCAGCAAUCUCAAAACUGAUGCAGCCUACAAGAGUGGCUUCUGACUCUAAAGAAUAGACUACAGAUGAAUAUGAGAAGGUGGAUGCACUGGUGCAGUGUUUCCUUAGUCACAAGCCUUCUCCUAUUGAGUGUUUUCUAAGUCAUAUUGAAAAUUUGGAGAUGUGCGUUCAGGAUCUAGAAAUAGGAAUUGAACACCUCUCAAGAAAACUACUUAGGAACAGAGUUUUCCUUCUCAAUAUCUUCAACCGCUAAUCAUACAACAUUUAUGUGAUUUUUGUGAACUAAAUUUUUACCCCAUGAGUUCUGUCUUCCAUCUGUACAUUAAUGUCAAUUAAGUCUUGUUUGUUCGGCAGAACAUGUGUUAACUAAGGAUCAAAUUAUAGUUACUUCACUUUCUCUCUUUUUCC